rnacentral:rRNA from 1 species
GCCGCGGUAAUACGUAUGUCACGAGCGUUAUCCGGAUUUAUUGGGCGUAAAGCGCGUCUAGGUGGUUAUGUAAGUCUGAUGUGAAAAUGCAGGGCUCAACUCUGUAUUGCGUUGGAAACUGUAUAACUAGAGUACUGGAGAGGUAAGCGGAACUACAAGUGUAGAGGUGAAAUUCGUAGAUAUUUGUAGGAAUGCCGAUGGGGAAGCCAGCUUACUGGACAGAUACUGACGCUGAAGCGCGAAAGCGUGGGUAGCAAACAGGAUUAGAUACCCUGGUAGUCCACGCCGUAAACGAUGAUUACUAGGUGUUGGGGGUCGAACCUCAGCGCCCAAGCAAACGCGAUAAGUAAUCCGCCUGGGGAGUACGUACGCAAGUAUG